GCUGAAGAAUGUGGACCGAAAAGAUUCAAAUUGAAAAUUUUUAUUUCGUUUCAAAUUUAAUAGAUUCAUGGUAAUUUCAAAUCUUAGUGUACAUUGCAAAGUAUGUAGGAAUAUUUGUUAAAACUCUUAAAACUACAGUAACUAAGUAAUUUGGCAGAAUGAAAUAGUCAAAUUCUGAAAAAAUUGUCAAACAUAGAAGAAGGACUGUUUCAAAACCCAUACUGUAUUGGCUAUUCUUGAUCAAAUUCUGUGAACCAUUACCAAAGGACGAAACUUGGUUAAGCACUUACAAUAUUAGUUUACUUAAUUUGAAAUUGAAUUACUUUUAUGCUUUCAACAACGAUUGUUUCUAGAUCUACCAUCGGGAUGUUUCACACUCGCAUACAUAUUGGCUGAUAUCAAUGUUUAGAGAAAUUAAGGUGAAAUACAGAUAUAACCAUGGAAGAGUUGAAGGUAAUGUUGAAGACCUUAAUGGUAACCGUUGAUUUUAUUUCCUAAGAUGAGAUAUUUUGGAAUGAAGAAAAAAAAGAAUUUUUCUGAUGACCAUUCAUUAGUUACAACAGAAACCAUCGUCAAAUAAAGAUUGCUGUGACAACAUAGAAAACCUCUUUUCUCUAUAAUUAAUUACAUUUACCAACUUUUUUAUGUACAGUUUUUUUAAUCAUUGUAAAGGAAGUAAUGCUUAGAAAUGGCUUGUAUAUUACUUUAUUUCAUUGGUAUUACUACACAUUAUGUUUUGUUUUUUCCAAAUUGAUACACUCAUUAGGUACUUGUUGAUAGAGUCAUGGAUUCACGAACUGAUACACUCUCAUUAGGUACUUGUUGAUAGAGUCAUGGAUUCACGAACUGAUACACUCUCAUUAGGUACUUGUUGAUAGAGUCAUGGAUUCACGAACUGAUACACUCUCAUUAGGUACUUGUUGAUAGAGUCAUGGAUUGACAAACUGAUACACUCUCAUUAGGUACUUGUUGAUAGUCAUGGAUUGACAAACUGAUACACUCUCAUUAGGUACUUGUUGAUAGUCAUGGAUUGAGGAACUGAUACACUCCCAUUAGGUACUUGUUGAUAGAGUCAUGGAUUGACAAACUGAUACACUCUCAUUAGGUACUUGUUGAUAGUCAUGGAUUGAGGAACUGAUACACUCCCAUUAGGUACUUGUUGAUAGAGUCAUGGAUUGCCAAGAAUUUAUUGGAUCAUUAUUUGUAGAGUCAAGUUAUCCAUGAUGGCAUUUUUGUUGAUUAAAUUUAUUUUCUAGUAAUCUAUUCAUAUACAUAACUAGUAUCAUUAAUAUAUUUUCUGUAAAUAGGUCAUAAGUUAUCACUGCAGGAUUGAAAUAUAAUUGAUAAAAUGAUAAAAACAUUUAGUGGUUCAAGAUUUUUCAUUUUAUCCAAAAAAAUACCUACUUUCUUGCUGGCAGUAACAUGUUCAUUAGAAUGCUAAUUUGAUUUUUGUUAAGUGCUUAUUUGUUUAAACAAAUUGCUUUUCAUUUGUAGAUCAUUAAUCAGCCCUCGACCGAAAAGGUCCACAGUAGUAGCACUUUCUAGACAUUUUGAAAUGGUAUGUUUACUCAGAGCCAAAUAUUGCCCUCACUGCUAACAAAAUACGUAUACAUUUGUCCAUAUCUUAAUUAUUGGUCUUAUUUUCAGAACUGAACUUUUCUGCUGCUACAGCUGUCUCUCAGUGUUUUGUCUAAUACAUGCACAGGGAAAGGCAAAAAAGACUGCAAGUACGAGAAUCCUAUACUGGUACGAUCUUUUAUACGUUGCUACGAAGACUUAAAAUAUAAUAUCAUCAAAUUAUCUGUAUUUCAGUUGUCUCCUUUUAAUCUUAAUAGUGAUCUAUUUUUAUUCCAUUCAAAAAGUAGUUCCAAAAGAGUUUUUGCUCAAAGUUUCCUGAGCAUAAGAUAUGGUGAACAUUUAAAGUGUUAUUUUAUAGUGGGUUUAAAAUCUGUUAUGGACUUGUUAAAAAAGAAUUGUGUUGGAAAAACGUGUGUAAUCAUAUGUGACAUGCACUGGAGAUAAUAGUUUAUUAAUUGUUUUGGUUACCCUCAUAUGUGCUGUCUACUAUGGUAGCUUAUACUGGGGUUCUAUCCCCAAACAAUGAACAGCUUUAGCACCAUCUAUUUAAACAGUUCAACUAGCUUCACUAUAGUAUUGAUGUUUGUCACAUCUCCUGUGUUAGUAGUUGACAUUGAUUUCACUAUAGUGUUGAUGUUUGUCACAUGCUUCAGUGUUAGUAGUUGACAUUGAUUUCACUAUAGUGUUGAUGUUUGUCACAUGCUCCUGUGUUAGUAGUUGACAUUGAUUUCACUAUAGUGUUGAUGUUUGUCACAUUCUCCUGUGUUAGUAGUUGACAUUGACUUCACUAUAGUGUUGAUGUUUGUCACAUUCUCCUGUGUUAGUAGUUGACAUUGACUUCACUAUAGUAAUGAUGUUUGUCAGAUGCUCCUGUGUUGGUAGUUGAUAUUGACUUCACUAUAGUAUUGAUGUUUGUCACAUUCUCCUGUGUUAGUAGUUGACAUUGAUUUCACUAUAGUAUUGAUGUUUGUCACAUGCUCCUGUGUUAGUAGUUGACAUUGACUUCAAUAUAGUAUUGAUGUUUGUCACAUUCUCCUGUGUUAGUAGUUGACAUUGACUUCACUAUAGUGUUGAUGUU